rnacentral:lncRNA from 1 species
UAAAAUUGUAUAUGGAAUAUUUUUUUUGAAGUGACGAGUUGACGUGGAUGAUUAUAAUUAAAGUUGUUACUAAUUUUUUAACAAAUUUUUAUAAAAAUAUCUAUCGCUAAUAUUUCAUCCCAAACGUAAGCCCUGGUCCUGGGCAGACAAUUUUCAUGGGUUUUGCACGUUAGCAUAAAACUGGAUCUUUAGGUAUUCAAUAUCCAUCACUAAGAUUAUAAGAGUAUACGAUCCAAGAUUUGACGUCGACGUUUAUUUAUUUUAUGACCAACAAAUGGCAUUUGAAAAAUUGCAAACUCUCCUAUAUUAAAAUUGGAGAUAUAAUAGAAUCCUGUUCAAAAUUUACACAUGGCAUAUUUGUUAUGAAAGAAACAAAAGACUUCACAUUUCAGACUCCCAGAAAUCAUUCUGAUAGAUAUAUUAAAAGACUGCAAAAUAUCUUUUAAAACUGAUAUCUUUAAAAUGACUAUUAUGCAGGUUUCCCAGACAACAACUCUUCUAAGACUCGAUUCUUAUCUAGAACACUAAAAAAAGAUAGUUAUAUAAAAGAAAGUCGAUAUGAAAAUUAUUAUAUCAACACUACUGUAUUUCAUUAGAUUCACAAGCAUCUUCUUAUGUAAUCUAUAAUAGAUUGUGGAAGAAAAAAUGAAGAUUGUGGAAGACUGCUACAUAUUAUUGAGAUGAGAUAAUUUUACAAUAUAGAGAUUAUAAUUAGAUUGAUAGUUAGAUCGUAGAUGUGUUGAACUACUGUCUCUAUGCAAGUGUGAAAGUGAAUAUACACAAGCACAAGUCACCA